GUUUGAUCCUGGCUCAGAUUGAACGCUGGCGGCAUGCUUUACACAUGCAAGUCGAACGGUAACAGGUCUUCGGAUGCUGACGAGUGGCGAACGGGUGAGUAAYACAUCGGAACGUGCCUAGUAGUGGGGGAUAACUACUCGAAAGAGUAGCUAAUACCGCAUGAGAUYUACGGAUGAAAGCAGGGGACCUUCGGGCCUUGUGCUACUAGAGCGGCUGAUGGCAGAUUAGGUAGUUGGUGGGGUAAAGGCUUACCAAGCCUGCGAUCUGUAGCUGGUCUGAGAGGACGACCAGCCACACUGGGACUGAGACACGGCCCAGACUCCUACGGGAGGCAGCAGUGGGGAAUUUUGGACAAUGGGCGAAAGCCUGAUCCAGCAAUGCCGCGUGCAGGAUGAAGGCCCUMGGGUUGUAAACUGCUUUUGUACGGAACGAAAAGCUCUGGGCUAAUACCCCGGAGUCAUGACGGUACCGUAAGAAUAAGCACCGG
rnacentral:rRNA from 1 species